rnacentral:lncRNA from 1 species
CACUCUCUGUAAAGUAUUCUUUGUCGUUUCUCUUCCAGUGCCCCCAUCUUUGCCGUAGUAGAAGCACUGGCCUUUGUUCUUUGCUGGGUCCUUUUUAGCAAUCUUUGCUUUACCCGAUCUGCCCUUGCCCUUGCCCUUCUUAAGGGACUUUUUUUUUCUUUCUUUUUUUUCUAGUCAAUUAGCUUUUCUUUCUUGAUAGUGCUCUCUACCU